rnacentral:rRNA from 1 species
UACGUAGGGGGCAAGCGUUGUCCGGAUUUAUUGGGCGUAAAGCGCGUGUAGGCGGCUUGGUAGGUCAGCUGUGAAAACUCGAGGCUCAACCUCGAGCUGUCGGUUGAAACCACCUUGCUAGAGUCCGGAAGAGGAGAGUGGAAUUCCUGGUGUAGCGGUGAAAUGCGCAGAUAUCAGGAAGAACACCAAUGGCGAAGGCAGCUCUCUGGGACGGUACUGACGCUGAGACGCGAAAGCGUGGGGAGCAAACAGG